rnacentral:rRNA from 1 species
CCUACGGGAGGCAGCAGUGAGGAAUAUUGGUCAAUGGCCGGAAGGCUGAACCAGCCAAGCCGCGUGAAGGACGAAGGUGCCAAGCAUUGUAAACUUCUUUUGUCAAGGGACAAUAUCAUGCACGAGAGCCUGACCGAGGGUACUUUAAGAAAAAGCAUCGGCUAACUCCGUGCCAGCAGCCGCGGUAAUACGGAGGAUGCGAGCGUUAUCCGGAUUUAUUGGGUUUAAAGGGUGCGUAGGCGGACUGUUAAGUCAGCGGUAAAAGCCCGGGGCUCAACCCCGGCGAGCCGUUGAAACUGGAUGGCUUGAGAUGUGGAGAGGUAUGCGGAAUGCGCAGUGUAGCGGUGAAAUGCAUAGAUAUUGCGCAGAACUCCGAUAGCGAAGGCAGCAUACCGGCGGCGAUCUGACGCUGAGGCACGAGAGCGUGGGUAUCGAACAGGAUUAGAUACCCUAGUAGUC